AUUGAACGCUGGCGGCAUGCCUUACGCAUGCAAGUCGAACGGUAACAGGUCUUCGGAUGCUGACGAGUGGCGAACGGGUGAGUAAUACAUCGGAACGUGCCCGAUCGUGGGGGAUAACGGAGCGAAAGCUUUGCUAAUACCGCAUACGAUCUACGGAUGAAAGCAGGGGACCGCAAGGCCUUGCGCGGACGGAGCGGCCGAUGGCAGAUUAGGUAGUUGGUGGGAUAAAAGCUUACCAAGCCGACGAUCUGUAGCUGGUCUGAGAGGACGACCAGCCACACUGGGACUGAGACACGGCCCAGACUCCUACGGGAGGCAGCAGUGGGGAAUUUUGGACAAUGGGCGAAAGCCUGAUCCAGCCAUGCCGCGUGCAGGAUGAAGGCCUUCGGGUUGUAAACUGCUUUUGUACGGAACGAAAAGACUCUUUCUAAUAAAGAGGGUCCAUGACGGUACCGUAAGAAUAAGCACCGGCUAACUACGUG
rnacentral:rRNA from 1 species